rnacentral:lncRNA from 1 species
CCCUUUCCAAAUAAAAACCCUAGAUAAUGAUAUGCUCCUAGGUCUCACAGGCAGCACUAAUGAUAAUAAUCCUUUUUCUUCGGUACCCCAUAAGCUGGAUUCCUUUAGAUUUUCCACCAGUGAUCUUGGAUUGCAGUGGAGGCAUCUCCCUGUAGAGAUGAAUUUGGGGCAUGUUCAAUGUACUUAAGAGGCAAAAAGGAAAUGGCUAGAUGUUGAAAUGGGAUACAAAGAUGUUUUGGGGAGCUUUGAUGGGUCGUUUUCAUUGAGAGCUGCCUAACUUAAAGGCGAAAAAUAAGACUUGUUUUCAUAUUUUACAAGGGGAAUUGUUUUUCUUAUCUUACUAUUAAAAUUACACAUAUUCUCCUUCUUAUAUAUAACUUUUUUUUUUAAUACUUGAUAAUGCAAUUAUAUUAAAAAAAUAAAAUAAAAACAUUCUUUGAGAUUUCACCAAUUUUUUAUUUUAAAAAUGUAUGUAUGUAUGUAUUAUUAUUAUUUUUUAGAAUGACUGAAUGAGUGUAUCUCUAUUUUGGAUAAUUAUUGAAGAAACUAUAUCUAUAAGAAAAUGAAUUAAAAUUGACUUUCAUUCAUUUGUUUAUAUAUUUAAAAUAUUAUGAUUAAUUAAUUAGUUACAUUAUUUUUCAAAUACACAAUUAAUUUUAAAAUAAUAUUUUUCUGGGACAAAUGUUAAGCUAGUUACUUGUUGGGCUAAAAUAAUGAAAGCCUACGGAAGAGAAGCUACUUAUAAAAUCACAGUAAUUUCCAGCUUCACCAGAGGAGGGCGCUAAAUCGGCCCGGCCCGGCCCAACUAUAUGUCUAUCACCUCAGAUUAAGAUCUGUAAGAUGUUAAUAUUAGUGCAUAUAUAAUAUAGAAAUCAAAGAACAUGCAACACUCUUCCUAUCAAUAAAAAAUAUAUAUAAAGGAAUAAUUCAUUAAAUUAAUAACAAUAAUUUAUUUUUAUUUAAUGACUUAUCAAACCUGUGAUUAUCACAUUGAAUCCACAUUCAGCCAUGCACAGAGAAAGAUAGAGAGAGAGAGCAAUGGAGAACAUGAAUCUCAAAGUAGAACAAGUAUGCAGAGUUGUAACAAAAACUCAAAAAUAACAUCAUAAAACAUCAUUCUUGAAAGAUCCCCAGAGAGGAAACCAAGAAUUAUAUCAAUACUUACAAAAUUAAACACUUGUUUUUCUUCCAUAUCUAUAUUCUUGUUUGCUUUGCCUGGCUUCACCCUGUGUGCCAUAUACAUGUAUAUAUAUAUAUAUAUACAUACACCUGUAAGUAUAGGCCAAAAGUGGGGAGAGAGCUCGCGAGAGAGCUGAGUUGGUUUUAAUGGACGGAGAUCACAAGCCUCCGCAAGCUCUGCCAAACUUGGUGGAGGUGUCGGUGCCACCCCGCCACCAAGUUUGGCGGAGUUAAGAAGAAGAAAGAAAUGGGUCAAGGAUCAUGGUGAAAAGUUGGGGUUUUGAGUCUCUAUAUGUAUUAUGUAUAUGUUCAGGUUACUCGUAUUCACUGUUCUUAGUGGCCCUUCCUUUCCAGUUUCAGGACGUGGAGCUGAGCUGUGUUGAAGCUACAAUUACAAGAAUGCCAUUAUCUCUGUAUUUCCAUUUAAUUCUAUUGGAUUACUAGUAUUUAUUAAUAAUUUAUUUAUCUAUUUUUACAUGAAGAGAAUCUACAAGUAAUGGAUAAAAAUGUAAAACACUAUACAGG